CUACGGGAGGCUGCAGACGAGAAUCAUCCGCAAUGGGCGAAAGCCUGACGGUGCGACGCCGCGUGGAGGAUGAAGGCCUUCGGGUUGUAAACUCCUGUCAGGGGUUAUGAAACGCAGUCCGCGAAUACCGGGCUGCCUGACAAAGGCCCCAGAGGAAGUCAUGGCUAACUCCGUGCCAGCAGCCGCGGUAAUACGGAGAUGGCAAGCGUUGCUCGGAAUCACUGGGCAUAAAGGGCGUCUAGGCGGAUCAGUUAGUCGGAUGUGAAAUCCCCCGGCUCACCCGGGGACCUGCAUCCGAUACUGCUGGUCUUGAGGUCGAGAGGGGAGAGUGGAACUCCUGGUGGAGCGGUGAAAUGCGUAGAUAUCAGGAGGAACGCCGGUGGCGAAAGCGACUCUCUGGUUCGAUUCUGACGCUGAAGCGCGAAAGCUAGGGGAGCGAACGGGAUUAGAUACCCGUGUAGUC
rnacentral:rRNA from 1 species